GAUGAACGCUGACAGAAUGCUUAACACAUGCAAGUCUUUGGCGAAUCUGUGCUUGCACAGGCUAGCCAAGGCGGACGGGUGAGUAACGCGUAAAGAACUUGCCCUGCAGACAGGGAUAACAGACGGAAACGACUGAUAACACCUGAUACAAUUGCCGGCACGCAUGUGCCUGGCAAUGAAAAGAGAUGCUGCGGGAGAGCUUUGCGUCCUAUUAGCUUGUUGGUGAGGUAACGGCUCACCAAGGCGAUGAUAGGUAGCCGGCCUGAGAGGGUGAACGGCCACAAGGGGACUGAGAUACGGCCCUUACUCCUACGGGAGGCAGCAGUGGGGAAUAUUGGACAAUGGGGGCAACCCUGAUCCAGCAAUUCUGUGUGCACGAAGAAGGUUUUCGGAUUGUAAAGUGCUUUCAGCAGGGAAGAAGAAAGGACGGACCUGCAGAAGAAGGCG
rnacentral:rRNA from 1 species